AUUGAACGCUGGCGGCAGGCCUAACACAUGCAAGUCGAGCGGAUGAAGGGAGCUUGCUCCUGGAUUCAGCGGCGGACGGGUGAGUAAUGCCUAGGAAUCUGCCUGGUAGUGGGGGAUAACGUCCGGAAACGGGCGCUAAUACCGCAUACGUCCUGAGGGAGAAAGUGGGGGAUCUUCGGACCUCACGCUAUCAGAUGAGCCUAGGUCGGAUUAGCUAGUUGGUGGGGUAAAGGCCUACCAAGGCGACGAUCCGUAACUGGUCUGAGAGGAUGAUCAGUCAACUGGGAAGUGAGAAAGGGCCCAGAUCCCUACGGGAGGCAGCGUGGGGGAAUUUUGGAAAAUGGGGGAAAGCCUGACCAAGCCAGGCCGCGGGUGUGAAGAAGGUCUUCGGAUUGUAAAGCCCUUUAAGUGGGGAGGAAGGGCAGUAAGUUAAUACCUUGCUGUUUGGACUUUACCAACAAAAUAAGCACCGGCUAACUUCGU
rnacentral:rRNA from 1 species